ncrna:unclassified sequences RT-14 RNA
CUCUAAUAUUAUUCCAGAUUAUAUAUUUUAAGGAAUAUAUACAGAGAAGUAUUAGAUAUUAAAGAGGUUUAUUCCUUCCUAUUUUAGGUAAAAAUGAAGCAAUAAAAUAUGUAUUAGUAAAUAUUAGAUAUUGAAAAUACGUAUAUUAU